rnacentral:tRNA from 2 species
AACGGUGUGCCAAAAGUGGGUUUUCGCUUGGCUCAUAACCUGAAGGUCAGAGGUUCAAAUCCUCUCCCCGCAACCA